rnacentral:rRNA from 1 species
AGUGAACGCUGGCGGUAGGCCUAACACAUGCAAGUCGAACGGCAGCACAGUAAGAGCUUGCUCUUACGGGUGGCGAGUGGCGGACGGGUGAGGAAUACAUCGGAAUCUACUUUUUCGUGGGUGAUAACGGAGGGAAACUUACGCUAAUACCGCAUACGUCCUACGGGUGAAAGCAGUGGAGCUUCGGACCUUGCGCGAUUGAAUGAGACGAUGCCGGAUUAGCUAGUUGGCGGGGUAAAGGCCCACCAAGGCAACGAUCCGUAGCUGAUCUGAGAGGAUGAUCAGCCACACUGGAACUGAGACACGGUCCAGACUCCUACGGGAGGCAGCAGUGGGGAAUAUUGCACAAUGGGCGAAAGCCUGAUCCAGCCAUACCGCGUGGGUGAAGAAGGUCUUCGGGUUGUAAAGCCCUUUUGUUGGGAAAGAAAAGCAGCAUGUUAAUACCCCGAUGUUCUGACGGUACCCAAAGAAUAAGCACCGGCUAACUUCGUG